GACGAACGCUGGCGGCGUGCUUAACACAUGCAAGUCGUACGGUAAGGCCCUUUCGGGGGUACACGAGUGGCGAACGGGUGAGUAACACGUGAGUAACCUGCCCACAACUUUGGGAUAACGCUAGGAAACUGGUGCUAAUACUGGAUAUGUGCUCCUGCUGCAUGGUGGGGGUUGGAAAGCUCCGGCGGUUGUGGAUGGACUCGCGGCCUAUCAGCUUGUUGGUGGGGUAGUGGCCUACCAAGGCGGCGACGGGUAGCCGGCCUGAGAGGGUGACCGGCCACAUUGGGACUGAGAUACGGCCCAGACUCCUACGGGAGGCAGCAGUGGGGAAUACUGCACAAUGGGCGCAAGCCUGAUGCAGCAACGCCGCGUGCGGGAUGACGGCCUUCGGGUUGUAAACCGCUUUCAGCAGGGACGAAGCUUUUUGUGACGGUACCUGCAGAAGAAGCACCGGCUAACUACGUG
rnacentral:rRNA from 1 species